AUGAAAAUAAUCUACAUUAAAAAUUUGCGUAAAAUCGUUGACGUAUAUCGACGUGCAACGGAAAGGAGAGACAAGCAAUAUAAACUCGAUCAGUGCUGGAGAUGAUGGACGAGAGGAAAGCGAUUUGAAGCGAUACAAUUGCUAGAUGUGCGUGCGUGCAUUCAUCGUUACGACAAUUGCUCGGUUCAAAUUGAAUGACCUGAGCAAGUAGAACCGAUGAACAGCCGAUACUGCCGAGAGUUGGCGAUGGAUUAAUUUGCUAACCCAAUGACAAUAAAAAGCUGUAAACACUAACGCGUCGUCACGCUAACCCGGUUAACAAGACAUCUUCUAAUCGUGUCUCUUGAAUGACAAUGCGCAACUGUAUGUCGUUUGCAUAAUGUUGCUGCGUACAAACUGCGUCUCUCGUUCUUUCAAUCGCGCAAUGUAAAUUAAUUUAAUUUUGUUCCAGCAUCUUCAAUCAGAAGUACUUUUUUUUAUUUUAACAUGUAGGCACAAUUUCUAUAUGUAAAAAUCAUGUAUCACUUCAUUUCAUUCGUUUCAAUUCAUAAAGAUUUUUCUAGUUAUAAAUUUUAAUUUUGUUUGACCAUUUAAGGAUUUUUUAAAGCGGAAAUUAAAAAAAUUACUGUUUCGGCGACCUUUGCGAGCUUCAUAAUGCGAGUAAGCCGAACGAGUAAUAUGUAUGCACUAAAAUGCAUCGCAUGAAUCGACACAUACAAAUAGUGUCUAACAAAUGCAAUUAGCUCAAUUAAGUUCAUCGCGCUCGCGCUCUGUUUGUUCAAUUCGUGCACUGCCUUGCAAUUCGAAAUCGUUCGAUCGUGCUUAAGUUUUGAAUGCAAUUCGUACGUUCUAUUCGAAUGAUAAACGCACAUCGAAGAUGUAAAACACGCUCGAAGGUUUUACGCUAAUACUAGUUGUAUAAAGUACGCACACAUACGCACACGCAUACACAAUUAUUCAUGUGAACAUAAGUUUUUAAUAAUAUGAAAAAAAGUAUAUGUAUAAGUAAAAAACAUACAUAUAAGUAAAAAAAUAUACGAAAUAAAGGAAAACAAAAAAUUAAUCGACCUUGCGUAUAGUUCUUUUUUAACAUCUGCAAAUAUAGUAUUUUCCGCAUCUUUUUUAUAGAAAAUUUAAUAUUGACCGAUGACAAAUCGGUCUUGUAAAAGGCACUCGAUUAAACGUAUGAAUCUUGCGGUUGUCUUAGAAUACAUUAACCUGGGUGAACUUUAUUAUAAGGCACGCGAUUAUUCAAUAGCAAUCGGGAUCGUUUCAUAUGAUAGCCUGGCGCAAGUCAGCUAUAUAGAAUGUCGCAGACCUUUCACCUUUGGAUUCUUUGACUAAUUUGGAAUUUGGAAUUGACGCUUUCUCAACAACAAUAUCGAGAAAGAUCAUCGUAUGCCAUACAUAAUAAAAAUAAAUAUCUCUGUAAUUAAUCUGUAUAUUUUAUAUAUUUAUAUUAGAAUAGAAACGUUUUAAAAUUUAACGAAAAACACAUUUUCGCUAUAUGUUUGCAUUUUCAAAAUUUAGUUAGUAAAAAAUUCAUCUUUGAUUGAAUAUAACUUAAAAAAUUGAUUUUUCAAUUCCAAAUUUCCAUUAUGGUAAAAUCAACUUUAAAUUGAUUGGUAGGUGAAAGCUAUAAGAUACCUCAAUACAUUUGUACAUAGAUUGUUGAACAUUAAGCGCAAUCAAUUAAUCGUUGAUUAUGAUGUAACUGUAUGAUGCACGAGUUUCGCAAUUCGUCGUGAGCGUUGAAAAAGACCUCCUUGUAUAUCGACCUAACAUACAUCGUUUUCCCGUUGCUUAUGUACUCACCAUUUAUUGCAGUGGAACAUAGUACAUAUCUGUGAGAAAGGACUGGUGCAUGUCGCUAAUGCAACGUACAUAAUAGGAAGAUACUAAUUACUUGGACGUAAGGAAGCUUCUUUCGCGAAAAAUAUCUUCCUUUGUGUAUGUUAUUUGCCCGAUAUGUUCCGAUCGUAAUUUAUCUAUAUGUUUUAAAGCUUCAGUUUUUCCAAGAUCCUUAAUCGAAAAUGCAACAUUUUUUUUGUUCAGGACGCCACAAGCAAAAUUAUUUCGAAGAUUCACCACUAAGCAAAUUUGACUGACCAAAAAGGAUUUAAUCUAAUCUCUCGCUGUUAAAGAGAAGCAUUUCGCGAAUACAAGCAAAUGCCCUCGCACUUUAUUUAAUCGGAGCAUGUGAUGACACGGAAUCGAUCACUGAUUUUGAUAAAACUGCAGAAAGAAGCAUCUCUUUAUCUGUCUCUGACACCUCAAAACUGGAUAGCUAAAAUAAAUAGAUAAUAAAAUUCUGUAUAUUGGCAAA